UUUUGUUCUUAAUGUAAUUUUUGUACUUUCUUGUAUCUGAGGGAAGUUGUGGAAUUUAACCCUUCUAAUAGGAAAAUUUAACCCUCGCCGAACGCCCCUCUCUCUCGCAUCUCUCCUUCUCUGCAACCCUCGUCGAGCGACCCUCCCUCGCCGUCCAAUCUAAGCCAGCCACCUUCGCGUGCCUCAUCCGUCAUUCGGUCCGAGCCAACCUCUGCCAGUUGUGAAGCUAGAUCGUCCACACCGUCGAUCAGACUCAUUGCAGGCAGCCACAUCGCGCCAGAUCCAAAGGGGCCCAAUCGUGAGCAUCAUCAUCCACACCGGUCGUAGGCUUCCAGUCAUUCACCCAGCCGCCUUUCGCGUUCCAGCCUAGUCAGCCACUCGCUGUUCGGCCCUUCACACCACGUCGUUCGGUUUCGCCACCGCAGAAGCUGAGUGACUAUCGUUCAUCCGCGCUGCUCGAGUAUGAUUAGCCCUCAAUCGCCGUUCACGGCCAUCUGGUGCUAUCCAGCCCACAACCACGAUUGUUGUUUUGUCACCAGAUUUGUUGUUAGCCGCCAUCUAUUGGAAGUAGAAGCUGACCGAGAAGAAAUUUUGGAGAUUGGAAUCUUGAAAACUUUUAUUGAGCGGGCUUCAUUGGGGGACUGAAAUCAAAGAUUUGUUGUUAGAGACUGUUCACUUGGAUUAAUAUCUAAAUCUAGCUCGAGGUAGCGGUCAGUUCUUAAAAGACUUUUCCGCUGCUGCUUUGCCACUCAAAGAAACAAGUUGAAGGAAGUGUAAUUGAAAACCUAUAUUAGUUAGUACACAUGUGUCUGUCUAGUGACUAGUAUACUAGAUGGGGCUCACUAAGUUGUAAUAUUCAU